rnacentral:rRNA from 1 species
UACGUAGGGUGCAAGCGUUAUCCGGAAUCACUGGGUUUAAAGGGUGCGUAGGCGGCUUAGUAAGUCAGUGGUGAAAGACUGUGGCUUAACCAUAGAAUUGCCAUUGAUACUGCUGAGCUUGAAUGAGGUUGAGGUUGGCGGAAUGUGACAUGUAGCGGUGAAAUGCUUAGAUAUGUCAUGGAACACCGAUUGCGAAGGCAGCUGACUGGACCUAUAUUGACGCUGAGGCACGAAAGCGUGGGUAGCGAACAGG